rnacentral:tRNA from 1 species
ACCCUGGGCAGUGCAAAGGUUAGCAUGCUUGGCUGCUAACCAAAAGGUUGGUGGUUUGAGUCCACCCAGGGGUG